GACGAACGCUGGCGGCGUGCUUAACACAUGCAAGUCGAACGGAAAGGCCCUGCUUUUGUGGGGUGCUCGAGUGGCGAACGCGUGAGUAACACGUGAGUAACCUGCCCUUGACUUUGGUAUAACUUCAGGAAACUGGGGCUAAUACCGGAUAGGAUCUCCUGCUGCAUGGUGGGGGUUGGAAAGUUUCGGCGGUUGGGGAUGGACUCGCGGCUUAUCAGCUUGUUGGUGGGGUAGUGGCUUACCAAGGCUUUGACGGGUAGCCGGCCUGAGAGGGUGACCGGCCACAUUGGGACUGAGAUACGGCCCAGACUCCUACGGGAGGCAGCAGUGGGGAAUAUUGCACAAUGGGCGGAAGCCUGAUGCAGCAACGCCGCGUGCGGGAUGACGGCCUUCGGGUUGUAAACCGCUUUCGCCUGUGACGAAGCGUGAGUGACGGUAAUGGGUAAAGAAGCACCGGCUAACUACGUG
rnacentral:rRNA from 1 species